rnacentral:rRNA from 1 species
UGGGGAAUAUUGGACAAUGGGCGAAAGCCUGAUCCAGCCAUGCCGCGUGUGUGAAGAAGGUCUUCGGAUUGUAAAGCACUUUAAGUUGGGAGGAAGGGCAUUAACCUAAUACGUUAGUGUUUUGACGUUACCGACAGAAUAAGCACCGGCUAACUCUGUGCCAGCAGCCGCGGUAAUACAGAGGGUGCAAGCGUUAAUCGGAAUUACUGGGCGUAAAGCGCGCGUAGGUGGUUUGUUAAGUUGGAUGUGAAAUCCCCGGGCUCAACCUUGGAACUGCAUUCAAAACUGACUGACUAGAGUAUGGUAGAGGGUGGUGGAAUUGCCUGUGUAGCGGUGAAAUGCGUAGAUAUAGGAAGGAACACCAGUGGCGAAGGCGACCACCUUGACUAAUACUGACACUGAGGUGCGAAAGCGUGGGGAGCAAACA